rnacentral:piRNA from 1 species
UCCAGACAAUCCAAACUGUUGGGUCGCCGC